GACGAACGCUGGCGGCGUGCUUAACACAUGCAAGUCGAACGGAAAGGCCCUGCUUUUGUGGGGUGCUCGAGUGGCGAAUGGGUGAGUAACACGUGAGUAACCUGCCCUUGACUUUGGGAUAACUUCAGGAAACUGGGGCUAAUACCGGAUAGGAGCUCCUGCUGCAUGGUGGGGGUUGGAAAGUUUCGGCGGUUGGGGAUGGACUCGCGGCUUAUCAGCUUGUUGGUGGGGUAGUGGCUUACCAAGGCUUUGACGGGUAGCCGGCCUGAGAGGGUGACCGGCCACAUUGGGACUGAGAUACGGCCCAGACUCCUACGGGAGGCAGCAGUGGGGAAUAUUGCACAAUGGGCGGAAGCCUGAUGCAGCAACGCCGCGUGCGGGAUGACGGCCUUCGGGUUGUAAACCGCUUUCGCCUGUGACGAAGCGUGAGUGACGGUAAUGGGUAAAGAAGCACCGGCUAACUACGUGCCAGCAGCCGCGGUGAUACGUAGGGUGCGAGCGUUGUCCGGAUUUAUUGGGCGUAAAGGGCUCGUAGGUGGUUGAUCGCGUCGGAAGUGUAAUCUUGGGGCUUAACCCUGAGCGUGCUUUCGAUACGGGUUGACUUGAGGAAGGUAGGGGAGAAUGGAAUUCCUGGUGGAGCGGUGGAAUGCGCAGAUAUCAGGAGGAACACCAGUGGCGAAGGCGGUUCUCUGGGCCUUUCCUGACGCUGAGGAGCGAAAGCGUGGGGAGCGAACAGGCUUAGAUACCCUGGUAGUCCACGCUGUAAACGGUGGGUACUAGGUGUGGGGUCCAUUCCACGGGUUCCGUGCCGUAGCUAACGCUUUAAGUACCCCGCCUGGGGAGUACGGCCGCAAGGCUAAAACUCAAAGGAAUUGACGGGGCCCCGCACAAGCGGCGGAGCAUGCGGAUUAAUUCGAUGCAACGCGUAGAACCUUACCUGGGUUUGACAUGGAUCGGGAGUGCUCAGAGAUGGGUGUGCCUCUUUUGGGGUCGGUUCACAGGUGGUGCAUGGCUGUCGUCAGCUCGUGUCGUGAGAUGUUGGGUUAAGUCCCGCAACGAGCGCAACCCUUGUUCACUGUUGCCAGCACGUUAUGGUGGGGACUCAGUGGAGACCGCCGGGGUCAACUCGGAGGAAGGUGGGGAUGACGUCAAGUCAUCAUGCCCCUUAUGUCCAGGGCUUCACGCAUGCUACAAUGGCUGGUACAGAGAGUGGCGAGCCUGUGAGGGUGAGCGAAUCUCGGAAAGCCGGUCUCAGUUCGGAUUGGGGUCUGCAACUCGACCUCAUGAAGUCGGAGUCGCUAGUAAUCGCAGAUCAGCAACGCUGCGGUGAAUACGUUCCCGGG
rnacentral:rRNA from 1 species